rnacentral:misc_RNA from 1 species
GAUGAAGAACGUAGCAAAAUGCGAUACUUGGUGUGAAUUGCAGAAUCCCGUGAACCAUCGAGUUUUUGAACGCAAGUUGCGCCCGAAGCCUUUUGGCCGAGGGCACGUCUGCCUGGGCGUCACGCAUCGCGUCGCCCCCCCACAAUUCUCCGUAAAGGGAACAUGUGUUUUGGGGGCGGAUAUUGGUCUCCCGUGCUCAUGGCGUGGUUGGCCGAAAUAGGAGUCCUUUCGAUGGACGCACGAACUAGUGGUGGUCGUAAAAACCCUCGUCUUUUGUUUCGUGCUGUUGCUCGCAAGGUAAACUCUUUAAAAACCCCAAUGCGUCGUCUCUUGACGACGCUUCGACCGCGACCCCAGGUCAGGCGGGACUACCCGCUGAGUUUAAGCAUAUCAAUAAGCGGAGGA